AUUGAACGCUGGCGGAAUGCUUUACACAUGCAAGUCGAACGGCAGCACGGACUUCGGUCUGGUGGCGAGUGGCGAACGGGUGAGUAAUACAUCGGAACGUGCCCAGUCGUGGGGGAUAACGUAGCGAAAGCUACGCUAAUACCGCAUACGAUCUAAGGAUGAAAGCGGGGGAUCGCAAGACCUCGCGCGAUUGGAGCGGCCGAUGGCAGAUUAGGUAGUUGGUGGGGUAAAGGCCCACCAAGCCGACGAUCUGUAGCUGGUCUGAGAGGACGACCAGCCACACUGGGACUGAGACACGGCCCAGACUCCUACGGGAGGCAGCAGUGGGGAAUUUUGGACAAUGGGCGCAAGCCUGAUCCAGCCAUUCCGCGUGCAGGAUGAAGGCCCUCGGGUUGUAAACUGCUUUUGUACGGAACGAAAAGGCUCUGGUUAAUACCUGGGGCUCAUGACGGUACCGUAAGAAUAAGCACCGGCUAACUACGUGCCAGCAGCCGCCGUAACAC
rnacentral:rRNA from 1 species